UACAGAGGCCUCGAGCGUUAGGCGGAAUCACUGGGCUUAAAGCGUGUGUAGGCGGAUGCCUAAGUACCUUGUGAAAUCCCACGGCUCAACCGUGGAACUGCUGGGUAUACUGGUUGUCUUGAGCCAGCUAGGGGCGAGCGGAACAGACGGUGGAGCGGUGAAAUGCGUAGAUAUCGUCUGGAACGCCGAAGGUGAAAACAGCUCGCUGGGGCUGCGCUGACGCUGAGACACGAAAGCCAGGGGAGCGAACGGG
rnacentral:rRNA from 1 species